rnacentral:rRNA from 1 species
UGGAGAGUUUGAUCCUGGCUCAGAUUGAACGCUGGCGGCAGGCCUAACACAUGCAAGUCGAGCGGCAGCACGGGUACUUGUACCUGGUGGCGAGCGGCGGACGGGUGAGUAAUACCUAGGAAUCUGCCUGGUAGUGGGGGAUAACGUCCGGAAACGGACGCUAAUACCGCAUACGUCCUACGGGAGAAAGCAGGGGACCUUCGGGCCUUGCGCUAUCAGAUGAGCCUAGGUCGGAUUAGCUAGUUGGUGAGGUAAUGGCUCACCAAGGCUACGAUCCGUAACUGGUCUGAGAGGAUGAUCAGUCACACUGGAACUGAGACACGGUCCAGACUCCUACGGGAGGCAGCAGUGGGGAAUAUUGGACAAUGGGCGAAAGCCUGAUCCAGCCAUGCCGCGUGUGUGAAGAAGGUCUUCGGAUUGUAAAGCACUUUAAGUUGGGAGGAAGGGCAGUUACCUAAUACGUGAUUGUUUUGACGUUACCGACAGAAUAAGCACCGGCUAACUCUGUGCCAGCAGCCGCGGUA